rnacentral:rRNA from 1 species
UACGAAGGGGGCUAGCGUUGUUCGGAUUUACUGGGCGUAAAGCGCACGUAGGCGGAUCUUUAAGUCAGAGGUGAAAUCCCAAGGUUCAACCUUGGAACUGCCUUUGAUACUGGAGAUCUUGAGUCCGGGAGAGGUGAGUGGAACUGCGAGUGUAGAGGUGAAAUUCGUAGAUAUUCGCAAGAACACCAGUGGCGAAGGCGGCUCACUGGCCCGGUACUGACGCUGAGGUGCGAAAGCGUGGGGAGCAAACAGG